rnacentral:rRNA from 1 species
UUCUUUAAGAAUUAAUUUAAAGUAUAUCCUGCUCAAUGAAUAUUUAAAUAGCCGCAGUUAACCUGUGCUAAGGUAGCAUAAUCAUUUGCUUUCUAAAUAAAAGAUAGAAUGAAGGGUUAUAUGAUUAAUAACUUUUUUCUAAAAAAUAAAUAAUUUAAAAUUAAUGUAAAAAAUCAUUAAUAAUUAAGCAAGACGAUAAGACCCUGCUAAACUUACUAUUUAGUUGGGGUGACAAUAUAACAAAAUCUUAUAAAAUAAAAUAAUUCAACCUUAAAUAAUUAAGAUUUAAAUCAGUUACUACAGGGAUAACAGCGCAAUAUUUUUUUAGAGCUCAUAUCCAAAAAAAAGAUUACGACCUCGAUGUUGAAUUAAUUGAACUAAAUAUUAAGCAAAAUUUAUUAAAGUAAGUCUGUUCGACUUUUAAAAAAUU